CGUGCCCACGCUUUUCGUGGUGUGUAACGUCCCCAUCGCGAGGGCUCGGUACCACGCCAGUCUCGGCAACGGAGACAGGGCGGUAACAGGUGAUGCACAACCACCUGUGUGAAGCCGCUGGGCGGCCCUCCCGGGCUCUCUCAGGGUACUCCCCAUGGUAGACCCAGCUCCCCCGGGGGGUCCGUUCCUCGGCUUCCUCCUCGAGGCACGGGGACGCCUAACCUUACAACCCCGCACGAUGCGGGUAGGGAGCCUGGCUUGAUGGGGCAUAUGCUCAAGCGGCGGCUCCGAGCCCCGUGGCCCGCCCCACGCCGCCGCGGGUGGCAGGGGAGGUACCGCUGGCUCCGAGGCGGAGCUUUGCUCCGCUCCACCGCGCCGCGCCCGGCCCGCACCUCUCCGCUCCGCCGCGGCCCCGUUCGUUCCGGAUCCGCGGCCCCGGCGCGGCGGUGUUGCCGCGCUCCCCGCCGCGGCUCUGGGUGCCUUCUGCCUCCCAGCAUGAAUGUGAGGAGGGUGGAGAGCAUCUCGGCGCAGCUGGAGGAGGCCAGCUCCACAGGCGGAUGGAUAUGUUAGCCCCUGAGAAGAAAGCACAUGAAGAGAAAGAAGAUUUGCAACAAUAUCAUCAGAAACCUGCAAACUGCAAGAAACUGCUUAGGAAUUGCUGCUUGGUGAAACGAUUUUUUGCCUGGAAAAGUUUGAGCACUAAAGGUACCUUUCCUAUUGAAUUUCUCAGUGUAGGGGAAACUGUUGUCUUCCCAAGAAUUCUUUUUUUUUUUUUAUAGAGGUGCUACUGAAUUUAGCAUCAAUCACAUUACAGGUACAAAAGUCUCUACUGUCUUGGAUCUAUUGUGCACAGAGAUUAGAAAUGGUGCAGCUUUGAUUGAAGGUGCUUUAUCCUAAUGUGACAUAAUUAAUUGUACUGCAUGAGCAUUCUUUUUGCAGCUCAUCAAAAUACAUCAUCUACAGAAAAGACCGGCAGAAAAAAAGAAAUCCUUCAAUCAUAAGCUAAAUGACUAAAUGUAAAAUCACAGUAAUUAAAUUCAUCAGUUUAUUAGGGCUCAGCCCCCAAAGCUGUUUUGAUGUUUAAAAACUGCUUUGAUCAUUGUCAGGGUAUAUUUACAUAGAAAUUACACGAUCAAUUCCUUUGUCUUAGAGGAAAUAGAGAAAGGUAAUUUUUAUACAUAAUGAUGCUGUAUACUGUACUUAUUAAUAAUUAUUAAAAUAAAUGCUUCUAUUUAAAUUGGAACUUGGCUGUG
rnacentral:lncRNA from 1 species